UUUUAAUAUUAUAUAUGCAAUUAUGUAAGAUUAAAUUGCUUUAAUUUUAGCAGAAAUAUAGAUAAUGAGUCAAACACAUAAGUAUAUAGAGUCUGAUCAACGUCGAAGGUGGCGACAUUACUGGAGGAGAUGUGUAGACCUGGUUGUAACCGUUAAUGCUAAUUCAUAAAAUCCGGAAAACCACAAAGAUUGGCUAUUCAAAAUACGUCCUAUGACUGACGCUUUGAACAAAAGUUUUCAGCAAGUGUAUCAUGGAACCAAGGAAUUAUCAGUAGACUAAUCUAUAAUUAUUUUCAAGUGCAGACGCUCUAUGAAACAAUAUUGCGCCAUGAAACCAAGCUCGGUUAUAAGUUUUGGUGUUUGUAGGAUCAAUUCGGCUAUAGUAAAGAAUUGCAAAUAUACCAAGGAGAAGAAGAAAAUGUGGAAGCAAAGUACGAAGGAUUUGGUCUGGGGGAGAGAGUGGUUGUGUCCCUCAGAGAAGAUGAGUGGCAAUAGAACAAGCAAUCGAAGGGACUUCUUUCAAACAUAAAGCCAGACAAGCAAAUGAAAAGAGACAAGUUUGAUUCACGAUCAAAAACAAAUGGAUAUAUUGUUUAUAAAUGGAUAGAUAAUAAACCCAUCAUUCAUGGGCGGAAAAGAUCAUGCAGAUCCAAUACGAAGUACCUACGGGAUAGGCAGACGUUUUAAAAAAUGGGGGCAUAGAUUGUUUUGGGGGCUUUUGGAAAUAACGUUCGUUAAUUCUUAUGUUGAAUACUGAUUUAUAGGCGAUCCGUUGCUUAAGGCCUAAUGGCGCAAAAGGAAAUUGGUGCCAAGAAAAGGAGCUUGAGUUAGACGCCAACACAGUCAAGCAAAGCAUGUUGUAAUAAAGGUGCGUCUUUUGCAACUGAUGUUCGACUUUGGAGUACAUUGGCAAUUUUGUUUAAACCCGAAGAAAAUGUGAUAUGUGCAGCCGGCAUUCCGGUAUAUUUUUAUACUGCUAUAAAGAACUAACUGUUUCGUCCAAUAUCAUGACAUUAAUAAUGGAAAACUUUUCGGCUCCUUUUGUUGUUGUUGUUGUUUUAACGUUUCUGGG